AGAUGAGAUGCUGAAUCAAUCUUGAACCAAUCAGGAUCAAACUCCUGGCUGUGGGCAAUUAGCCUGUAGUACUGCAUUCUGACCCACCAUGUCUAUAGAUUUUUAUGUGUAUGCAUAUUGUGCCUUUCUGAUGCAAAUGAGACAAUAGCUCCAAUUUCCCUUCCAGCUCGAUUCUAAUUCUGAAUCUUCACUCCUUUCUUCAGCUUUUUUGCUAAGUAGGAGGUUUAAAGCACACACGAGCAUCAGUGGAGAUAAAGGUUAUCAUUUGCCUGAAAGUGAUGUGUGGCUGCCAAUAUUUAAGUGGUGCAGAUUCCCUAAUCAUUUUAAGGAACUCCCUCUGAUGAGUAUGUCCACUAGAGUAGAGUUGCAGGCAGAAAUGCAAUUAGUCCUAAAUCCCUUACUAUUGUUUCCACUUUUCUUACUAUUGUCACAAUCUGCCUUUCCACCCUGCUUUACAUGAUGUAAUGCAAGUAAUAACUGAGAAAGAAAACCAUAAGGAGAAUGGAGUUAUAGUGAUGCUGAAUUAGAAAAUGCAACUCUUGGGCUCUUUGUCCUAACUUUGUGGUGAUCUUUCCUUCCCUUCCCUCCCGUUGCUCAUCUCGACACAAUCACAUCAAUACCUUUUUUAAAAUGAGGUCUCCAGAAUUGGACACAGUUUUCCAAAUGGUGUCUCCUUUUUCUUUAUGGUGAUACAUCUGGUGAUGCAUCCCCGAAUUUUGUUUGCCUUCACAGCUGCGUGGCCACACUGUUUACUUCUUUUGCAGUUAUCUUUUUUUUCAGUGCCAUGGUAACUUCUUUCACAUAG